rnacentral:rRNA from 1 species
GAUGAACGCUGGCGGCGUGCCUAAUACAUGCAAGUCGAGCGAACAGAUGAGAAGCUUGCUUCUCUGAUGUUAGCGGCGGACGGGUGAGUAACACGUGGGUAACCUACCUAUAAGACUGGGAUAACUCCGGGAAACCGGGGCUAAUACCGGAUAAUAUUUUGAACCGCAUGGUUCAAUAGUGAAAGACGGUUUCGGCUGUCACUUAUAGAUGGACCCGCGCCGUAUUAGCUAGUUGGUAAGGUAACGGCUUACCACGGCGACGAUACGUAGCCGACCUGAGAGGGUGAUCGGCCACACUGGAACUGAGACACGGUCCAGACUCCUACGGGAGGUAGCAGUAGGGAAUUUUCCGCAAUGGGCGAAAGCCUGACGGAGCAACGCCGCGUGAGUGAUGAAGGUCUUCGGAUCGUAAAACUCUGUUGUUAGGGAAGAACAAAUUUGUUAGUAACUGAACAAGUCUUGACGGUACCUAACCAGAAAGCCACGGCUAACUACGUGCCAGCAGCCGCCGUAA